GACGAACGCUGGCGGCAUGCCUAAUACAUGCAAGUCGAGCGGACUUGAUGAGAAGCUUGCUUCUCAGAUAGUUAGCGGCGGACGGGUGAGUAACACGUAGGCAACCUGCCCUCAAGCUUGGGACAACUACCGGAAACGGUAGCUAAUACCGAAUACUUGUUUUCUUCGCCUGAAGGAAACUGGAAAGACGGAGCAAUCUGUCACUUGGGGAUGGGCCUGCGGCGCAUUAGCUAGUUGGUGAGGUAACGGCUCACCAAGGCGACGAUGCGUAGCCGACCUGAGAGGGUGAUCGGCCACACUGGGACUGAGACACGGCCCAGACUCCUACGGGAGGCAGCAGUAGGGAAUCUUCCGCAAUGGGCGAAAGCCUGACGGAGCAAUGCCGCGUGAGUGAUGAAGGUUUUCGGAUCGUAAAGCUCUGUUGCCAGGGAAGAACGCUUGGGAGAGUAACUGCUCCCAAGGUGACGGUACCUGAGAAGAAAGCCCCGGCUAACUACGUGCCAGCAGCCGCCGCCG
rnacentral:rRNA from 1 species